GGAGAAGCAGGGGAUCGCAAGACCUUGCGCUUUUAGAGCGGCCGAUGCCUGAUUAGCUUGUUGGUGAGGUAAAAGCUCACCAAGGCUUCGAUCAGUAGCUGGUCUGAGAGGACGACCAGCCACACUGGGACUGAGACACGGCCCAGACUCCUACGGGAGGCAGCAGUGGGGAAUUUUGGACAAUGGGGGCAACCCUGAUCCAGCCAUGCCGCGUGAGUGAAGAAGGCCUUCGGGUUGUAAAGCUCUUUCAGCCGGAACGAAACGGUUACGGUUAAUACCCGUGACUACUGACGGUACCGGAAGAAGAAGCACCGGCUAACUACGUGCCAGCAGCCGCGGUAAUACGUAGGGUGCGAGCGUUAAUCGGAAUUACUGGGCGUAAAGCGUGCGCAGGUGGUUUUGUAAGUCAGAUGUGAAAUCCCCGGGCUUAACCUGGGAACUGCGUUUGAAACUACAAAGCUAG
rnacentral:rRNA from 1 species